rnacentral:lncRNA from 1 species
CAUGAGGAUCACCAUCGGUGAGGCUCUGUUUAUAGAGAGGAUAAGCUUGUGCGAAAAAGACGCUGAGGUGCUGUGCAGACACGAGGGACCUCUCUGCCCCGUGAUGCUCCCUUUGCAAGUGGUUCACGUUCUGUGUGUAUGGAACUAGUGCGAUUUUAGGUGAUUUUUGCAAAGUGGCAUCCUCGUCUGCUUUUAUGAAUGUGUGUAUGUAUAUUUAAAACAUCGUGAUGUACACAUACAGAUGUUUUCAAUACUCAUUCCUUUACAGUCACAUGAAUAUGGGUGUUUGUCGCAAUUUCGGUUCAUAGUUUCAUGAAAUACCCUGGUGGGUUAUAAGAGGUGAGGUGGACUAAUAUAUUAUGACCAUGUUUUCUGAAAAUAGGAACGAUUUUACCUAAGGGGAAAAAUUUUAUGAUGUAGAUAUAUAUUUGAAGCACCAUUAAAAACGGCAGAAGGAGGAUAAUACGCGUUAGACAAUCUAUCCUAGUAUGCUGGUUCCUGAAUAUGCUGACAACAUUUCCAGGAGACUUGAUCAAAGGCCGUCUUUUUGAAGUUGUCAUAUGCUUGUCACCCAGUAGAGACAUUUGGAGGUGGCGUCCUCUAGUGCAAGGUCAGUUGCAGAGAUUAACCCCUGGGUGAAACAGAAGCUGCCCGUGGUUUUCAAGCAGAGGUUUCUAGCAACUGGCUUGGAUGGUUUUCUAGCUGAAGGGGCUGAUUUGUGUGACCUGUGUGGACACACCCAUUUGGGUACUGUUGCCACAUGACAGACUUUUCUGAGAGCCAAUGAAGCAGGUUGUGGAAAGGGGAUGCAGGGCACAUCCCAGCGCUGUUUCUGUCUCGUGGCUGUGUGGUGUCCCGCGGCCCUUCUACUGCAUCUUGCUUCCUGUUUGUGCAGGAAAGGGUUUUUGACCUGAGGCUGUGCACCCCCCACCCCCCCAUUCUUAUGCUUGUGUGUCAUUUCUGUGUUUCUGCGAGAGAUAGACCAGCUUCCAUCACAACCUGUGAUGUAGGAUAUGACUUGGUUUAGGUCAUUCUUUUAAUUAGUUUAUUUAUUUAUUUAUUUAUUUAUUUAUUUAUUUUCUUUUUUGCUACACCCUCGGCACAUGGAGGUUCCCAGGCCACGAGUCAGAUCGGAGCUACAGCCGAUGUCCUUCGCCCCGGCCACAGCAACUUGGGAUCUGAGCUGCAUCCUCGACCCAUACUACAGCUCACGGCAAUGCCGGGUCCCCAACCCACCAAGCAAGACCAGGAUUGAACCUGCAUCCCUAUGGAUCCCAGUUAGGCUCAUUAACGGCGGAGCCACAAAGGGAAUUCCUUAAUUAGUUUAUUUUUAGAAACAGUUUAUUUUAGAACAGUUUUAGAUUUAUAGAAAAAUUGCAAAGGUGGUACAAGCAAUCCCCAUAUACUCCACAUCCAGUUUCCCUUAUUAUUAACAUUUUGUAUUGGUUUGACACUCUUGUCACAAUCAAUGAGCCAAUAUCGAUACAUUCAUAUAAACUAGAGUCCAUGCUUUAUUAAUAGUGAUGUGGAUUAGAAAAGGCAGAAUAGAUAGUGAAGUGGCAAAGUUGGAAAAUGCCAGGAUUCACGGUGUGUUAGUGUUUUACUUAUUUCAUUCUUUCUCAGCUGGGGAGCUCAUGGCGUCCCUGGCUUCUGAGUGUCCCAGCCCACCCAGCAAAGGACUGUGGCUUCGUCCUUUAUUUUACCUCCCUUAUAGACAGAUGCCUUCCAUUCAAGUUUUUGUUGUUUUUUUUUUUUUAACAAAGGAGAGUCCUCCUCUGUCCUUGUCCUAGAAAAGAAUGAUGUGGACUUCCCUGGUGGCUCAGUAGGUUCAGGAUCUGGCAUGGUCAUUGCUGUGACUCAGGUCACUGCUGUGGUGUGGGUUUCAGCCCUGGCCUGGGAACUUGCACAUGCUGCAGGUGCAGCCAAAAAGAAAAAAAAAAAAAAAAAAAAAGAGUGAUGUGCAAAUUUGUAUCUGGGCCCUGAGUUCAAAUCCUGAGAUACCCUGGCCUCCACUCUGGGCUUUGAGAGGAUAAUGGUGUGACUGGGUGCUGGGCAGCACUGGGAAGCAGUGGGGUCUGGGGCUGGACCACAUUAGCACGCUGGGGUUCACAGAGCCUCGCCCAGAGACUGGCUUAACAUGCUCAAUCAUAGAAGCUUGUGUUUGUCAGCAAAAAGUUAGAUAAUUCACCACUGAAUUAUUUAAUUUGCUGGGACUGGGCUGGGUAGGUGAUUAGGACAGGAAAUAACCACAGGCUGAGUGAAACAAGACGCAAACAGGGCCCCUUAGCCUCUGCCUUCAGGGCGGCUCGCUAAGGGCGGCUCCUGAGGUGCUUCCGUCCAUCAGUCUGCACGCAGUGUUGCGGGUAUGGAGCUUUGGGGAAGGGCGGGGGCAGGCGGGUGGCCUGCGGGAACUGUGGGGACGCAACAACAAGUCAGGGUGGUUUUUCUCGUGAUCCAUACAGUCAACAUAACUCACAAAACGCAAAUCUUUGUUAGUAAAGGGGAUGAGAGCAAUGGGCAGAAACAUUUUCUCCACGGUGACAUGGCUGGAAAUGCUUCUCUGCUUCACCCACCGUCGGAUUUCAUUUCUUUUCCUCACAAACCUAAUUGAUGCAGCAUAAAAGUCAUCCAUUUGAAAGGAAUCUUCCAUCAAUGUCAUUCUGAGAAGGUGAAUUAGGCAAUGACAAUUGUGAGAAAUACUCUUAAUGCCGUCAUGAUAUCAGUUUUAGCCAAUCUAGCCACAGGAUUAAGGUGACUGCAUUGUUUCUGUCUUAUUUUCCACGUUAUGUUUCAUGACAGAAAAUCAAAAGGAGAAAAUGGGUCUGAGGAGCACACUGGCUCAUGUGCCAGGGAGCAGGAGCCAUCAACCUGGGCAUUUAUUCAGAUUUUCCGAUAUACGGCCAGUACUUUUCUAUCUAAAAAGAGCCAGAAUCUGAAGGCACAUAAACCCCCUGACAGUGUUAGAGACACUGUGGGAUCCCAGCUUCAUCAGGGGCUGCAGCGUCUGAGAGGUGGAGGCACCUGUAGGCCAGGCUGAGUUAGUGUUGGGAGACGGUUUUACCGGACAGACCUCUUGUGUUUUCGUCCAUCCUGUGAGUGGGGUGCUGAGUGCCCUUUGCUGUGGGCCAGCUUUUCCAGAAUGUCUGCAUAGUGAGCAGCCUGGGCUUGAAGGGCGGCAGCCCCCUGGGGGCAGGGGCCGGGGUUCUUCCUGCCAUGCAGAAGCGGCUCAGUGGCCUGGGUCUGGGGCCUCUCCUGUGGCUUCAAGUCUCGCCUGUGGGAAUGGGGGCCAGAGGCUGGACCCUGGCCGUUGCUGCACCUGAUGAGCCGUCUCUGACCCAGGAGCCUCCCUGGACCCCUGUGCCUGCACCGGCAGCUUGUCAGCAGGUGGAUGCGCAGACGCCGCAGGGCUGGUGACUGCGCCUCCCACGUUGUAGGCACAAACAUCAGCUACCUCACCUGCGAAGUGUCCUGAUACUGCUUCUAACAUGUGCAGCAGUCCUUGUCUCCUGUCAGAGGCAUGUCCCCAGCAAGUUCCCCCAGGCUGGCUCUUCCUGGGAAUGUACAUAACUCAUGUCCUCUGACCCAGGCAGGCAGCUCAACUGGGCCCUUGUCCCAGACAGAUGCCCGCUACUGAUGGGUCUGUGGUUCUGGGUUCUGGCAGAGCCAGGUGCUCUGGGGACGUUCCAGCGCUGAGGGGAUCCCCGCCUUCCAGCCUGGACACCCAGCCUCUCCCUCAAAGCUCACUUUGCAAUGCAGGUUUCUGUACUGUUAGUGAUAGAAAUUAAGCCAGAGGACCAAGCACGAGGGGGCUAUUUUGUGUUUAACCUGGCUGCUGCCACAUGGGGUGCACGUGGGAGGCAGUUACAGGCCAGACCUCCCCAUGCAUUGACCCUCAGGGCAGCCUCAGGAGGCAGCUCAGGCUCCUGCCAGGAGGCCAUGUGCUUGGAACACGGACUUUGUCCCUGCCUGUCCUUGUGUGGUGUGAAGUGGGGCUCAGAUUAUUUUGGUAAGAACGUGUCUAAAUGCUUCAAUUGUUUGAACUCACAGUAUCUUUUUCUCAACUGGUUGUGCCCAUUCUGCUGAAAAGAAAACGUCCUGGAUUGCUGGGUGGGCUACUUUUUCACUGCUGGGCUACAUUUACAGCACUAAAGGAAAGAAGGUCUUGGAAAAUUCCAUGUGUAUAGACAGUGAGCACAUGCUUUCUUUCAUAAUUCACAAAAAGUAUUUCUUGGAUCAUCAGAAAAAAAGUAUGUGUUUGCCAAGACAACUGUCUGGUUUGGGGCUAUGCCUUGUAAAGUUAAGGCCAUUAAUCAAUUGUACAUCUCCUGAAUUUUCUGCUUAUAAUUCUUUGGUCACCAAAUUAUGCUUCCUUCCUUUUUACCUGUCCAGAAAGACACAAUUUCAAAAGUCAGAGGAGUCAUUUAUUAGGAUGAAAUCCUUGCUGUAACUAUUCAACACCGUCUUCCCAGUAUCUGGUUUGAGUAAAGCUACAAAAUUAAGAUUCUGAUGGUUUUUAUCUACUGAUAGUUUUUUGCAGGACAGACUACUAUAAGUAAAAAUCUUUUUUAUUUUAGCUUUCUUAUCUGUGAUUUAUUUCAGAAUCUCACACCAGCUCUGCCUGGACAGUUAUACCUUGCCUUUCCAUUUAUUUGGUACAGUUAGAGCUAACAUUCUUAAUUUCCUGGAUGAAUUAUAAAUAAUCUUCCAAAAACCUCAAGAAAAGAUCCUAGUUUUUAUUCUUGAGUGUAUCUUGCCUUAAAAAUUAUUGCAUCGGGGGAGUUCCCGUUGUGGUACAGUGGUUAAGGAAUCUGACUAGGAACCAUGAGGUUGCAGGUUCGACCCCUGGCCUUGCUCAGUGGGUUAAGGAUCUGGCAUUGCCGUGAGCUGUGGUGUAGGUUGCAGACGCGGCUUAGAUCCCGUGUAGCUAUGGUUCUGGCGUAGGCAGGUGGCUACAGCUCCGAUUAGACCCCUAGCCUGGGAACCUCC